GAUUUGUCACAGUCCCUGCAGCAGAGAGGCAGCCCAAGGCUCUGCAAAUCACUGCCACUUCAUCACGGCUGCAGCCACCCUUGUGCAGGCCCCAGCUCGAGGUCUUCUCACUCGAUGCUGGUAUGGGGGUGAUGAUCAUCCAUCUGGCAGGUCACAAGGACAACCCUCGGGAUGGGAAAUCUGAUCCUAAUUGCUGAGUCACAGCUAAAGGGCAGAAUGACGUCGUCUGUAACCAUGGCAUGCAUUCCAAACUCAGCCCCAGCUUGGCUUCUCCUCAAGUUUGAGUGAGCCCCUGUCAGUCUACACCACCCCUCCUCAUGUUCGGCUGUUUUCAAGCCGGCACACUGGCAAAGAUGCUGCCAGGAAAGAAGGAAGCCAAGCCCAGGGAGAGGAGAGAGCUGGUUUGCUGUGGGUGGCCAGGAACAAGGUCCCGUGUGUGGAGGAGACAGAACACAGUCAUGAUAUCAGGCCGGGAGCAGUGGCUGACUCCUGAGCCCCUUUCAGAGAGUAAAGAGAGCUGGAACAAGGGAGCAAUGCUGACGGAAGGACAGACAGACAGAUGGACAGACUGCACUGGGGGCAGAAGGGCCCGCAGGCUCCAGACGAGCACGAUCAGCAGGAGAAAGCAGGCCAUGCGCAGGUGAUGUGGGUGCCAGAAGCAACCCAGCAGAUAGAGGAAUUCCAAUAACCGCACAGCACUCAAGUAAAAUAAAAACACCGUGACUUCGCAGCAA